UCCCUGCUAGCUCAGUGGUAGAGCGCCUCACUAGUAAACAUCAAUCACUGGAUCUACUAUGAGGAGGUCAGUCGUUCAAGUCGGCUGUGGGGAA